rnacentral:rRNA from 1 species
GGAUGCGAUCAUACCAGCACUAAAGCACCGGAUCCCCUCAGAACUCCGAAGUUAAGCGUGCUUGGGCGAGAGUAGUACUAGGAUGGGUUACCUCCUGGGAAGUCCUCGUGUUGCAUUCCC